rnacentral:rRNA from 1 species
UACGGGGGGAGCAAGCGUUGUUCGGAUUUACUGGGCGUAAAGGGCGCGUAGGCGGCGUGACAAGUCACUUGUGAAAUCUCCGGGCUUAACUCGGAACGGUCAAGUGAUACUGUCGGACUAGAGUACAGAAGGGGCAACUGGAAUUCUCGGUGUAGCGGUGAAAUGCGUAGAUAUCGAGAGGAACACCUGCGGCGAAGGCGGGUUGCUGGGCCGACACUGACGCUGAGGAGCGAAAGCGUGGGGAGCGAACAGG